rnacentral:rRNA from 1 species
CAAUAGCGUAUAUUAAAGUUGUUGCAGUUAAAAAGCUCGUAGUUGGAUUUCUGAAUUGAAUAUCCGGUCCGCUCGUCUCUGAUGAGUGCGUACUUAUGGCUAUUGGAUUCAUUUUUUGUGAGGACAUUUAUCUGUCAUUAAGUUGAUGGAUUUAUAGACUUGCAUCGUUUACUGUGAAAAAAUUAGAGUGUUUAAAGCAGGCGUUCGCCCAUUUGAAUACAUUAGCAUGGAAUAAUAAGAUAUGACUUUGGUGGUCUAUUUUGUUGGUUUGCACACCAGAGUAAUGAUUAAUAGGGACAGUUGGGGGUAUUCAUAUUUCAACGUCAGAGGUGAAAUUCUUAGAUCGUUGAAAGAUGACCUUAGGCGAAAGCAUUUACCAUGGAUGUUUUCAUUAA